UACAAUCGUUAUGGCCUUGCGAAUAGACCCAAAAGUGCUUCUCCGCUAAACCUAAUUGUCUCCUUCGUUCAUCUGAUUUUGACUUCGGCGGCGAGGAUGACGAUCCAUUGUUCUCUAUCUCCUGUAACGGAACUCUGACUUUAAUGGCAGUAAUACAGACGCCCAGUACGAGCCAUUCAAUCCGUCGUUUCCGGCGAAAUCUUUGCUAUAAAUAGGCGGUGAAACUUGAGUAUAAAAAGGUUGAAGUUAAGAAAGACAAUAUGCUGGAGUCCUCAAAGGAUCUCUUCUUUCUAACUUCAUC